ensembl:processed_transcript
UGCUGGGGAGUGAGAGGGAGAUAAGACCUGAGUAGAAGAGAGGGCAGUGGUAGUCAACAGGCGCUCACAGCUUCUGGUUUAAACCAAGUCGGGAGGAGAGAAGGUGAGGAAGCAGGCAUAUUAACGUUUCAGUUCUAAAACUCUCAAAGCAAGACACACCCGAGGCACGGAUGAAGUUGGUAGUUGCUCUAUCUCGAAUCAAGACCUAUGUGCUAAAGGACAGGUCACCAGCCUUGGAUGGUACUACAUGGAGUUGGUGAAACUUUGAGGGGAAGAAUACAAAUAGAACAAGUUCCGUCUUUGUGUCUCUGAGGGCAUGCCUUAAAGCGAAUAGCGAGUCCUCGGGACCCUUGUCUCUUUCUUUGCUUCCCGAUUAGCAUAAGGCGGACCCGCAUCCUCAUCCACCAGCUCCUGCCAUACUGUGCUGGACCGCCACAGGUCCAAAGCAUGGGGCCGGGAGACCACAGGCUGAAACCGCUGACCCAGCAGCCGCGUGAACCCUUUCUUCCCUUAAGCUUGUUCUCUCAGUUACUGACCGGGAAGCUGACUCUCUUGAAGAGGAUGAGACUAAUGGUGUAGUUAAGCACCGAAGUCCAGUCUAUUCACCACUAAAGACUGUCUGACAGCUCACCUGUGGGCUCUGAGAAGAAGCAGUCAGUGAAAGAUACGCGUGUUUUGGCUUGAGCCCCUAAAUAGAGCAAGUCGUCCCGUAGGAUGGGAAGGGUGUGGGGAGAGCUGCUUUCCUAAGGGAGCAGGAGGAGGCGGUUUAUGUGUGCUAUGUUUUGAGAUGCCAAAUUGCCAUCCGAAAGCAAAUGUCAGUGUGAAAUUGUUUACAUGACCCGAAAGCCGGGCAGAACGCUCAGGCCUGCGAUCAAAAAGGAGUAAAUGAGUUCAGCAUACCGGUGGCAUUUUAAGCCAGAAAUUUGAUGAGAUCGCCAGGGAAUGUAGAUAGAAGAGAUCCAAGUGUGGAACUCUGGGGCACUUGAGUGUUUAGAGGUAAUAUGGGGCCAUCGAACAAGACUAAGGAGGCCUAUCUUCAACAAGGCAGAAGGCCAAGUAGGCAAUGAGAAAAAGAUUCACAAAAGCCAGAAUAAAUGACAACUUCAAAAAUGGUACCAACAGGUACUUAGCAAGGAGUUUAUCAGUGACUGUCACAAUUUCCAUGGAGCCUAAAUUCAGGGUUUGAAGUCAACUUUGAAGCUUGUUAAUCUUGCUCAUCUUUCUUGAAUGUCUAUGCCCCAGCAUGCUAAGAGGGGUAUUUGUAAAAUGCACAGGUACUUACGUACGUACGUAAAUACGUACAAAGGACUCUCCCAGGCAGUGCCCUGUGCUGAUUUGAAUGAGAUGCCACCCACAGUUUCAGGCAUGUGAAUGCUUGCUUCCCAGUUGGUGGCCCUGGUUGGUGAGGCUUGGAGGGCGUGCCUUGUUAGAGGAAAUGCAUCACUGGUGGCAGACUUAGAGAGCUUACGGACUCAUCACUUCUAGUCUGCCCUUGGUUGUGUGGCUCAAGGUGUGUGAGCCCUCAGCUUUUUCCUUUGGUGGCCAUACUUUUUGAUCCACUGUUAUGGACUCAAACCAGAAAUAUAAGCCCGAAUAAACGCUUCUCUAAACUGC